AAGGCAUCGUUUCAGUUAUGUUUAGAGAUCAGAAGUGCUUGGAGAGACAGUGAUCCUCCAGAAAUGGGAGUGCUUCCAGAAAGAUUAUCUCCUACCACAAGUGUCUUUCCCUCUGAAUAUUCAGAGAUUAGAAGUGCUUUAAGAAAGAAGAAGCUCCAGAAAUGGGAGUGUUCUCAGAAAGAUUAUCUCCGAUAGAAGGCAUCCUUUCAGUUAUGUUUAGAGAUCAGAAGUGCUUGGAGAGACAGUGAUCCUCCAGAAAUGGGAGUGCUUCCAGAAAGAUUAUCUCCUACCACAAGUGUCUUUCCCUCUGAAUAUUCAGAGAUUAGAAGUGCUUUAAGAAAGAAGAAGCUCCAGAAAUGGGCGUGUUCGCAGAAAGAUUAUCUCCGAUAGAAGGCAUCAUUUCAGUUAUGUUUAGAGAUCAGAAGUGCUUGGAGAGACAGUGAUCCUCCAGAAAUGGGAGUGCUUCCAGAAAGAUUAUCUCCUACCACAAGUGUCUUUCCCUCUGAAUAUUCAGAGAUUAGAAGUGCUUUAAGAAAGAAGAAGCUCCAGAAAUGGGAGUGUUCUCAGAAAGAUUAUCUCCGAUAGAAGGCAUCGUUUCAGUUAUGUUUAGAGAUCAGAAGUGCUUGGAGAGACAGUGAUCCUCCAGAAAUGGGAGUGCUUCCAGAAAGAUUAUCUCCUACCACAAGUGUCUUUCCCUCUGAAUAUUCGGAGAUUAGAAGUGCUUUAAGAAAGAAGAAGCUCCAGAAAUGGCAGUGUUCUCAGAAAGAUUAUCUCAGAUAGAAGGCAUCGUUUCAGUUAUGUUUAGAGAUCAGAAGUGCUUGGAGAGACAGUGAUCCUCCAGAAAUGGGAGUGCUUCCAGAAAGAUGAUCUCCUACCACCAGUGUCUUUCCUUCUGAAUAUUCAGAGAUUAGAAGUGCUUUAAGAAAGAAGAAGCUCCAGAAAUGGGAGUGUUCACAGAAAGAUUAUCUCCGAUAGAAGGCAUCAUUUCAGUUAUGUUUAGAGAUCAGAAGUGCUUGGAGAGACAGUGAUCCUCCAGAAAUGGGAGUGCUUCCUGAAAGAUUAUCUCCUACCACAAGUGUCUUUCCCUCUGAAUAUUCAGAGAUUAGAAGUGCUUUAAGAAAGAAGAAGCUCCAGAAAUGGGAGUGUUCACAGAAAGAUUAUCUCUGAUAGAAGGCAUCAUUUCAGUUAUGUUUAGAGAUCAGAAGUGCUUGAAGAGACAGUGAUCCUCCAGAAAUGGGAGUGCUUCCAGAAAGAUUAUCUCCUACCAUAAGUGUCUUUCCCUCUGAAUAUUCAGAGAUUAGAAGUGCUUUAAGAAAGAAGAAGCUCCAGAAAUGGGAGUGUUCGCAGAAAGAUUAUCUCUGAUAGAAGGCAUCGUUUCAGUUAUGUUUAGAGAUCAGAAGUGCUUGAAGAGACAGUGAUCCUCCAGAAAUGGGAGUGCUUCCAGAAAGAUUAUCUCUUACCACAAGUGUCUUUCCCUCUGAAUAUUCAGAGAUUAGAAGUGCUUUAAGAAAGAAGAAGCUCCAGAAAUGGGAGUGUCCGCAGAAAGAUUAUCUCCGAUAGAAGGCAUUGUUUCAGUUAUGUUUAGAGAUCAGAAGUGCUUGGAGAGACAGUGAUCCUCCAGAAAUGGGAGUGCUUCCAGAAAGAUUAUCUCCUACCACAAGUGUCUUUCCCUCUGAAUAUUCAGAGAUUAGAAGUGCUUUAAGAAAGAAGAAGCUCCAGAAAUGGGAGUGUUCUCAGAAAGAUUAUCUCGGAUAGAAGGCAUCAUUUCAGUUAUGUUUAGAGAUCAGAAGUGCUUGGAGAGACAGUGAUCCUCCAGAAAUGGGAGUGUUCUCAGAAAGAUUAUCUCCGAUAGAAGGCAUCAUUUCAGUUAUGUUUAGAGAUCAGAAGUGCUUGGAGAGACAGUGAUCCUCCAGAAAUGGGAGUGCUUCCAGAAAGAUUAUCUCCUACCACAAGUGUCUUUCCCUCUGAAUAUUCAGAGAUUAGAAGUGCUUUAAGAAAGAAGAAGCUCCAGAAAUGGGAGUGUUCUCAGAAAGAUUAUCUCCGAUAGAAGGCAUCGUUUCAGUUAUGUUUAGAGAUCAGAAGUGCUUGGAGAGACAGUGAUCCUCCAGAAAUGGGAAUGCUUCCAGAAAGAUUAUCUCCUACCACAAGUGUCUUUCCCUCUGAAUAUUCAGAGAUUAGAAGUGCUUUAAGAAAGAAGAAGCUCCAGAAAUGGGAGUGUUCACAGAAAGAUUAUCUCCGAUAGAAGGCAUCAUUUCAGUUAUGUUUAGAGAUCAGAAGUGCUUGGAGAGACAGUGAUCCUCCAGAAAUGGGAGUGCUUCCAGAAAGAUUAUCUCCUACCACAAGUGUCUUUCCCUCUGAAUAUUCAGAGAUUAGAAGUGCUUUAAGAAAGAAGAAGCUCCAGAAAUGGGAGUGUUCUCAGAAAGAUUAUCUCUGAUAGAAGGCAUCGUUUCAGUUAUGUUUAGAGAUCAGAAGUGCAUGGAGAGACAGUGAUCCUCCAGAAAUGGGAGUGCUUCCAGAAAGAUUAUCUCCUAUCACAAGUGUCUUUCCCUCUGAAUAUUCAGAGAUUAGAAGUGCUUUAAGAAAGAAGAAGCUCCAGAAAUGGGAGUGUUCACAGAAAGAUUAUCUCCAAUAGAAGGCAUCGUUUCAGUUAUGUUUAGAGAUUAGAAGUGCUUGAAGAGACAAUGAUCCUCAAGAAAUGGGAGUGCUUCCAGAAAGAUUAUCUCCUACCACAAGUGUCUUUCCCUCUGAAUAUUCAGAGAUUAGAAGUGCUUUAAGAAAGAAGAAGCUCCAGAAAUGGGAGUGUUCGCAGAAAGAUUAUCUCAGAUAGAAGGCAUUGUUUCAGUUAUGUUUAGAGAUCAGAAGUGCUUGGAGAGACAGUGAUCCUCCAGAAAUGGGAGUGCUUCCAGAAAGAUUAUCUCCUACCACAAGUGUCUUUCCCUCUGAAUAUUCAGAGAUUAGAAGUGCUUUAAGAAAGAAGAAGCUCCAGAAAUGGGAGUGUUCUCAGAAAGAUUAUCUCCGAUAGAAGGCAUCAUUUCAGUUAUGUUUAGAGAUCAGAAGUGCUUGGAGAGACAGUGAUCCUCCAGAAAUGGGAGUGUUCUCAGAAAGAUUAUCUCCGAUAGAAGGCAUCAUUUCAGUUAUGUUUAGAGAUCAGAAGUGCUUGGAGAGACAGUGAUCCUCCAGAAAUGGGAGUGCUUCCAGAAAGAUUAUCUCCUACCACAAGUGUCUUUCCCUCUGAAUAUUCAGAGAUUAGAAGUGCUUUAAGAAAGAAGAAGAUCCAGAAAUGGGAGUGUUCUCAGAAAGAUUAUCUCCGAUAGAAGGCAUCGUUUCAGUUAUGUUUAGAGAUCAGAAGUGCUUGGAGAGACAGUGAUCCUCCAGAAAUGGGAGUGCUUCCAGAAAGAUUAUCUCCUACCACAAGUGUCUUUCCCUCUGAAUAUUCAGAGAUUAGAAGUGCUUUAAGAAAGAAGAAGCUCCAGAAAUGGGAGUGUUCUCAGAAAGAUUAUCUCCGAUAGAAGGCAUCGUUUCAGUUAUGUUUAGAGAUCAGAAGUGCUUGGAGAGACAGUGAUCCUCCAGAAAUGGGAGUGCUUCCAGAAAGAUUAUCUCCUACCACAAGUGUCUUUCCCUCUGAAUAUUCAGAGAUUAGAAGUGCUUUAAUAAAGAAGAAGCUCCAGAAAUGGGAGUGUUCUCAGAAAGAUUAUCUCCGAUAGAAGGCAUCAUUUCAGUUAUGUUUAGAGAUCAGAAGUGCUUGGAGAGACAGUGAUCCUCCAGAAAUGGGAGUGCUUCCAGAAAGAUUAUCUCCUACCACAAGUGUCUUUCCCUCUGAAUAUUCAGAGAUUAGAAGUGCUUUAAGAAAGAAGAAGCUCCAGAAAUGGGAGUGUUCUCAGAAAGAUUAUCUCUGAUAGAAGGCAUCGUUUCAGUUAUGUUUAGAGAUCAGAAGUGCAUGGAGAGACAGUGAUCCUCCAGAAAUGGGAGUGCUUCCAGAAAGAUUAUCUCCUAUCACAAGUGUCUUUCCCUCUGAAUAUUCAGAGAUUAGAAGUGCUUUAAGAAAGAAGAAGCUCCAGAAAUGGGAGUGUUCACAGAAAGAUUAUCUCCAAUAGAAGGCAUCGUUUCAGUUAUGUUUAGAGAUCAGAAGUGCUUGAAGAGACAGUGAUCCUCCAGAAAUGGGAGUGCUUCCAGAAAGAUUAUCUCCUACCACAAGUGUCUUUCCCUCUGAAUAUUCAGAGAUUAGAAGUGCUUUAAGAAAGAAGAAGCUCCAGAAAUGGGAGUGUUCGCAGAAAGAUUAUCUCAGAUAGAAGGCAUUGUUUCAGUUAUGUUUAGAGAUCAGAAGUGCUUGGAGAGACAGUGAUCCGCCAGAAAUGGGAGUGCUUCCAGAAAGAUUAUCUCCUACCACAAGUGUCUUUCCCUCUGAAUAUUCAGAGAUUAGAAGUGCUUUAAGAAAGAAGAAGCUCCAGAAAUGGGAGUGUUCUCAGAAAGAUUAUCUCCGAUAGAAGGCAUCAUUUCAGUUAUGUUUAGAGAUCAGAAGUGCUUGGAGAGACAGUGAUCCUCGAGAAAUGGGAGUGUUCUCAGAAAGAUUAUCUCCGAUAGAAGGCAUCAUUUCAGUUAUGUUUAGAGAUCAGAAGUGCUUGGAGAGACAGUGAUCCUCCAGAAAUGGGAGUGCUUCCAGAAAGAUUAUCUCCUACCACAAGUGUCUUUCCCUCUGAAUAUUCAGAGAUUAGAAGUGCUUUAAGAAAGAAGAAGCUCCAGAAAUGGGAGUGUUCUCAGAAAGAUUAUCUCCGAUAGAAGGCAUCGUUUCAGUUAUGUUUAGAGAUCAGAAGUGCUUGGAGAGACAGUGAUCCUCCAGAAAUGGGAGUGCUUCCAGAAAGAUUAUCUCCUACCACAAGUGUCUUUCCCUCUGAAUAUUCAGAGAUUAGAAGUGCUUUAAGAAGAAGAAGCUCCAGAAAUGGGAGUGUUCUCAGAAAGAUUAUCUCCGAUAGAAGGCAUCGUUUCAGUUAUGUUUAGAGAUCAGAAGUGCUUGGAGAGACAGUGAUCCUCCAGAAAUGGGAGUGCUUCCAGAAAGAUUAUCUCCUACCACAAGUGUCUUUCCCUCUGAAUAUUCAGAGAUUAGAAGUGCUUUAAGAAAGAAGAAGCUCCAGAAAUGGGAGUGUUCGCAGAAAGAUUAUCUCCGAUAGAAGGCAUCAUUUCACUUAUGUUUAGAGAUCAGAAGUGCUUGAAGAGACAGUGAUCCUCCAGAAAUGGGAGUGCUUCCAGAAAGAUUAUCUCCUACCACAAGUGUCUUUCUCUCUGAAUAUUCAGAGAUUAGAAGUGCUUUAAGAAAGAAGAAGCUCCAGAAAUGGGAGUGUUCACAGAAAGAUUAUCUCCGAUAGAAGGCAUCGUUUCAGUUAUGUUUAGAGAUCAGAAGUGCUUGGAGAGACAGUGAUCCUCCAGAAAUGGGAGUGCUUCCAGAAAGAUUAUCUCCUACCACAAGUGUCUUUUCCUCUGAAUAUUCAGAGAUUAGAAGUGCUUUAAGAAAGAAGAAGCUCCAGAAAUGGGAGUGUUCACAGAAAGAUUAUCUCUGAUAGAAGGCAUCAUUUCAGUUAUGUUUAGAGAUCAGAAGUGCUUGAAGAGACAGUGAUCCUCCAGAAAUGGGAGUGCUUCCAGAAAGAUUAUCUCCUACCACAAGUGUCUUUCCCUCUGAAUAUUCAGAGAUUAGAAGUGCUUUAAGAAAGAAGAAGCUCCAGAAAUGGGAGUGUUCGCAGAAAGAUUAUCUCCGAUAGAAGGCAUCGUUUCAGUUAUGUUUAGAGAUCAGAAGUGCUUGGAGAGACAGUGAUCCUCCAGAAAUGGAGUGCUUCCAGAAAGAUUAUCUCCUACCACAAGUGUCUUUCCCUCUGAAUAUUCAGAGAUUAGAAGUGCUUUAAGAAAGAAGAAGCUCCAGAAAUGGGAGUGUUCUCAGAAAGAUUAUCUCCGAUAGAAGGCAUCAUUUCAGUUAUGUUUAGAGAUCAGAAGUGCUUGGAGAGACAGUGAUCCUCGAGAAAUGGGAGUGCUUCCAGAAAGAUUAUCUCCUACCACAAGUGUCUUUCCCUCUGAAUAUUCAGAGAUUAGAAGUGCUUUAAGAAAGAAGAAGCUCCAGAAAUGGGAGUGUUCGCAGAAAGAUUAUCUCCAAUAGAAGGCAUCGUUUCAGUUAUGUUUAGAGAUCAGAAGUGCUUGAAGAGACUGUGAUCCUCCAGAAAUGGGAGUGCUUCCAGAAAGAUUAUCUCCUACCACAAGUGUCUUUCCCUCUGAAUAUUCAGAGAUUAGAAGUGCUUUAAGAAAGAAGAAGCUCCAGAAAUGGGAGUGUUCUCAGAAAGAUUAUCUCCGAUAGAAGGCAUCAUUUCAGUUAUGUUUAGAGAUCAGAAGUGCUUGAAGAGACAGUGAUCCUCCAGAAAUGGGAGUGCUUCCAGAAAGAUUAUCUCCUACCACAAGUGUCUUUCCCUCUGAAUAUUCAGAGAUUAGAAGUGCUUUAAGAAAGAAGAAGCUCCAGAAAUGGGAGUGUUCACAGAAAGAUUAUCUCCGAUAGAAGGCAUCGUUUCAGUUAUGUUUAGAGAUCAGAAGUGCUUGGAGAGACAGUGAUCCUCCAGAAAUGGGAGUGCUUCCAGAAAGAUUAUCUCCUACCACAAGUGUCUUUCCCUCUGAAUAUUCAGAGAUUAGAAGUGCUUUAGGAAAGAAGAAGCUCCAGAAAUGGGAGUGUUCACAGAAAGAUUAUCUCUGAUAGAAGGCAUCAUUUCAGUUAUGUUUAGAGAUCAGAAGUGCUUGAAGAGACAGUGAUCCUCCAGAAAUGGGAGUGCUUCCAGAAAGAUUAUCUCCUACCACAAGUGUCUUUCCCUCUGAAUAUUCAGAGAUUAGAAGUGCUUUAAGAAAGAAGAAGCUCCAGAAAUGGGAGUGUUCGCAGAAAGAUUAUCUCCGAUAGAAGGCAUCGUUUCAGUUAUGUUUAGAGAUCAGAAGUGCUUGGAGAGACAGUGAUCCUCCAGAAAUGGGAGUGCUUCCAGAAAGAUUAUCUCCUACCACAAGUGUCUUUCCCUCUGAAUAUUCAGAGAUUAGAAGUGCUUUAAGAAAGAAGAAGCUCCAGAAAUGGGAGUGUUCUCAGAAAGAUUAUCUCCGAUAGAAGGCAUCCUUUCAGUUAUGUUUAGAGAUCAGAAGUGCUUGGAGAGACAGUGAUCCUCCAGAAAUGGGAGUGCUUCCAGAAAGAUUAUCUCCUACCACAAGUGUCUUUCCCUCUGAAUAUUCAGAGAUUAGAAGUGCUUUAAGAAAGAAGAAGCUCCAGAAAUGGGAGUGUUCUCAGAAAGAUUAUCUCCGAUAGAAGGCAUCAUUUCAGUUAUGUUUAGAGAUCAGAAGUGCUUGGAGAGACAGUGAUCCUCCAGAAAUGGGAGUGCUUCCAGAAAGAUUAUCUCCUACCACAAGUGUCUUUCCCUCUGAAUAUUCAGAGAUUAGAAGUGCUUUAAGAAAGAAGAAGCUCCAGAAAUGGGAGUGUUCUCAGAAAGAUUAUCUUCGAUAGAAGGCAUCAUUUCAGUUAUGUUUAGAGAUCAGAAGUGCUUGGAGAGAUAGUGAUCCUCCAGAAAUGGGAGUGCUUCCAGAAAGAUUAUCUCCUACCACAAGUGUCUUUUCCUCUGAAUAUUCAGAGAUUAGAAGUGCUUUAAGAAAGAAGAAGCUCCAGAAAUGGGAGUGUUUGCAGAAAAAUUAUCUCUGAUAGAAUGCAUUGUUUUAUUGCUUUUCACCUCCCUUCCUGAGAAGUCGGGGAGCGUGAUCAUCUCCUUUUUGGUGUUUUCACUUCCUUUCCUGAGAAGUCAGAGAGAGUGUGAUCACCUCAUUUUGGGGUACUCCCCUCACUGAGAAGUCAGGGAUGGCGUGACCACCUGUGAUCUAAAAGAAAAGAAAGCGGGAGUUGUAGAGGGCUGAAACUCUUGAGUCAAUGCAUUGAGUCAGGACAGCCGAGCACUUGAGGCUAAUUACCAAUUGGACAAUAUUCUAUGGGCAUGGUCCUUACCACUAUCGCGUGCUGGCUGGAUGAUUGGUGUAUACAGAGAAUUGUAGGAGGGACUGGGGGUGGAGUAAGACGAGCAAGAGUCACUUUGGCUGUAGACAAGGAAAAAGGAAGGUUGCAGAGACCCUGCUUCCAAUCCCUUCACUUGUACCCCUAAAGAUUAAGAAUAAAGACUAAGGACUUUUGCUUAUCCUGACUCUGGCUGAUUCUAAGGGUGGUAACGCAGUUAUCACAAUAAUCUUUAACAAUACACACAGUGUAGGAAAACCUUCUUUUAGAUGAAAGAACUUGUUGAUCCCAGAGAAUUUACACCAAGAGAAACCUUAUACAUGCACACAGAUUGUGGGAAGGCCUUAUUUGAGAAAACAAACAAACAAAAAACUUCUGCAACACCAAUGGAUUCAUAGUGGAGAAAAACCUUAUAUAUAGGUAGAAUGUAGAAUGUCCUUCCUCUGAAAAACGCAUCUUCUUGUACAUCACAGAGUUCAUACUGGAGAGAAACCUCAUCAGGUUAGUGAAUGUGGAAUGGCUUUCUGCUUGAACACAGCUCUUAAACUGUACAUCAAAGAGUUCACAUGAGAGAAAAACAUUAUGAAUUAAUCAGGGAAAUCCUCCAUCUGGAGGACCCAUCUUAAUACAGAGAGUUCACGAUGGAGAGGAGCUUUAUUUAUAAAUGUGAAAAGUCACUUCACAGGAGCCCACAUGUUACCAAACACCAGAAAAUUCCCGCAAUAGUUUUACAAAUAAUAGGGUGGGGAAAGUUUUCCCUUAGGAGUAUAGUUUUCAUGUUUAUACUAAAUCAUAUUGGAGAGAAAUCUUUUGAAUGUGUAAUGAAUGUGGGAAUUUGACAUCUUCUAAUACUAAUAAAAUCUUCUGAAGAUCAUGAA